rnacentral:rRNA from 1 species
UGGGGAAUAUUGCACAAUGGGCGCAAGCCUGAUGCAGCAACGCCGCGUGAGCGAUGAAGGCCUUCGGGUCGUAAAGCUCUGUCCGAGGGGAAGAAUAAAUGACGGUACCCUUGGAGGAAGCCCCGGCUAACUACGUGCCAGCAGCCGCGGUAAUACGUAGGGGGCAAGCGUUAUCCGGAAUUAUUGGGCGUAAAGAGUGCGUAGGUGGUUUUAUAAGCGAGUGGUGAAAGGCUACAGCUCAACUGUAGUAAGCCUUUCGAACUGUAAAACUUGAGUGCAGGAGAGGAAAGUGGAAUUCCUAGUGUAGCGGUGAAAUGCGUAGAUAUUAGGAGGAACACCAGUGGCGAAGGCGACUUUCUGGACUGUUACUGACACUGAGGCACGAAAGCGUGGGGAGCAAACAGG